UACGAAGGGUGCAAACGUUGCUCGGAAUUAUUGGGCGUAAAGCGCACGUAGGCGGCAUUGCAAGUCGGAUGUGAAAUCCCUCGGCUUAACCAAGGAAGUGCAUCCGAAACUGCAGUGCUUGAGUACUUAAGAGGAUCGCGGAAUUCCCGGUGUAGAGGUGAAAUUCGUAGAUAUCGGGAGGAACACCAGUGGCGAAGGCGGCGAUCUGGGAAGAUACUGACGCUGAGGUGCGAAAGCGUGGGAGCAAACAGG
rnacentral:rRNA from 1 species